rnacentral:lncRNA from 1 species
CACCCCAAAACCCAACUAACCUACCCUAACCUAAACAGCCCAAUACCCAUAAGCCCAACUAAUACAUCAGCCAACCCAAAAUUUAAACCCAAACAAAUCAAAACCUUAAAGCCCAAAUGGCCCAAAAUCUAAAACAUUUUUCAGCAAAAUUUCAGCAGCAAACCCUAGCUGGCCGUCGCAUGCCUCACGUGGCCUCCUCAUCUGCCACGCCUCCAUGCCACCAUGUCGGCCACCAUGCCCCUCAGCCUUGGCCACCACGCCCCACGCGUCUGACACUACCACCACCAUGCCUUUGCCGCACCUGCAAACAAGCAAAGGAAAAGGACAAAAAAUGGAGCAAUAAA